UGGGUUGUGGCUCAGUGGUGGAGCGCUUGCCCAGUAUGUUUGAGGCACUGGGUUUGAUUCUCAGCAACACAU
rnacentral:tRNA from 1 species